rnacentral:lncRNA from 1 species
GUGCACAUGUAAAGGUCUCAAAGCAUGAUAAAAUUGAAUUAAAAGCUCAAAUAAACUAAUCUACAAUUGGAGUUAGAGAAAUUAUCAAGCUUCUAGAAAUAUCUAUAUCCUUAUCUUAUGUGACAAGGGCCACUCAAUUUCUUUAAGUUUUGUAGUAGUGGAUUUAUUUAAUGUAUGUAUGUUGGUUUUAUUCUAAGCAUGC